GCUGUUUUGCAUGAUAAGCACUUUUUUAGUGAUCUAGAAUUUUUAGAAUAUCUUUAAAAGCAGCUUAACAUUACCCUGAGAAGAAGUUUAGAAUCUAGCUCCCAUAGCUGUGGUAACCUGCUCUCAUGCUUUGGGAACUGUUGCACUGCAUCUCAGGUGAGAAUACGGAAACCUGUUGGGAAUAGCCACUAUAGUUGUUACUGUUUUCCAUGGCAUAUAUGAUUAGAUUUAAGUUGUUGUUUUUUGUUUGUUUGUUUUGGGGGAUUUUUUGUUUUUUUUUCCUUUUUUUUUUAGUUUUGAUUUAUUUUUAGUAGCUCAUAGUGAUGUCCAUGACUACUGUUAACAGGUAUCAUAUGCAUUGGGAUGGUUUCGUCACAUCUGUAACAGCUGUGAUUGUUUAACUUUCCAAAAACCACUGAGUGACACUAGGGCAUCAGGCCACCAUCUCCUGCAGGGCCAACCAGAGUACCGUAACUGCUGAAAUCAAAUGCUGCUGAAGACAGAGAAAAAUAAACAGAAGAGAGGGACUGCUGCUGCCUUUUGUGACUAAGAUAACUAUUUCUCUGAGUUGUAUUUUUUUUAAGUCUCUAUACAAGUCCUCAAAGGCCCAGUUCUUGUGAUCAUUGCCUGUGAAGAGUGCUGAGGAAACUGAAGUUCAUAAUAAGCAUUCUUGACUUCCUGAUUGAUUGACGUGUUGUUUCCCUGACUAACUGGUGUUUGCAUCGAUUUCAUGGGUAUAAGGAAUCUCUUUAAUCUGUGGAAGUGUCACAUCAACUGGGAUUGUUGGGUCGUCAGUAAUUUGUAUAUCUUGAGAUUACAUAAGCAUAGUAAAAUUUGCUUUGGCACUAAACAUUUUCAAGUUGUGACUAAAUAAUUUUAACUGACUUGUAGUAGAUAAAUAUGAGUUAGUCUUCCAGUCCUGAAACAACACACACUUUUCAAAAUAUUGUGUAAUAGAGUAUUGUAUAAAUAAUAUGUACUAAUAUAAAUUAAAAACUAAUUUUCUUUUAGUUUGCAAAUAA
ensembl:lncRNA